CUGCUGCCUCCCGUAGGAGUCUGGGCCGUGUCUCAGUCCCAAUGUGGCCGUCCGCCCUCUCAGGCCGGCUACUGAUCGUCGCUUUGGUAGGCCGUUACCCUGCCAACUGGCUAAUCAGACGCGGGCCCAUCGUAUACCGUCUCGGCUUUUCACACUCCAGUAUGCACUGCUGUGCGCUUAUGCGGUAUUAGCACCUAUUUCUAAGUGUUAUCCCCCUGUAUACGGUAGGUUGCCCACGCGUUACUCACCCG
rnacentral:rRNA from 1 species